UGCCGGCGACCGGCGGACGGGUGCGUAACGCGUAUGUAACCUACCUUUGACAGGGGGAUAACAUCGAGAAAUUGGUACUAAUACCCCAUAACAUCACCGGAGGCAUCUUCGGUGGUUGAAAACUCAGGUGGUCAGAGAUGGGCAUGCGUUGUAUUAGCUAGUUGGUGAGGUAACGGCUCACCAAGGCGACGAUACAUAGGGGGACUGAGAGGUCAACCCCCCACAUUGGUACUGAGACACGGACCAAACUCCUACGGAAGGCAGCAG
rnacentral:rRNA from 1 species